rnacentral:snoRNA from 1 species
UGUCCGAUGCCACGUCGACGGUAGCUUUUUAUAGCUAUGAUCCUCGAUGCUACAUUGGACAUAUACAAAUGUACGUGUUUCGCUUACUGAUAGGAACCUGUGGAUCUUUUUUAUUUUUAUACGAUCCACGGAGCCAUUUCGGCGAUUACAUUA